rnacentral:rRNA from 1 species
GUUAGGAAUAUUGGACAAUGGGCGCAAGCCUGAUCCAGCCAUGCCGCGUGAACGAUGAAGGCCUUCGGGUUGUAAAGUUCUUUAGCCGAUGAUUAUAAUGACUGUAGUCGGAAAAUAAGCCCCGGCUAACUUCGUGCCAGCAGCCGCGGUAAUACGAAGGGGGCGAGCGUUAUUCGGAAUCACUGGGCGUAAAGCGUGCGUAGGCGGUCUCGUAAGUUAGUAGUGAAAGCCCAGGGCUCAACCUUGGAAUUGCUCUUAAAACUGCAAGGCUAGAAUCUCGGAGAGGAUAGCGGAAUUUCCAGUGUAGCAGUGAAAUGCGUAGAUAUUGGAAGGAACACCAGUGGCGUAAGCGGCUAUCUGGACGAGUAUUGACGCUGAGGCACGAAAGCGUGGGGAUCAAACAGGAUUAGAUACCCUUGUAGUCC